GAUGAAGAACGUAGCGAAAUGCGAUACGUAAUGUGAAUUGCAGAAUUCAGUGAAUCAUCGAAUCUUUGAACGCAUAUUGCGCUCUCUGGUAUUCCGGAGAGCAUGCUUGUUUGAGUAUCAGUAAACACCUCAACUUCCAUAUCUUUUUUGAAAUGGGAGUUGGACUUGAGUGAUCCCAACGCUUUUCCUCACCGAAAAGUGGCGGGUUACUUGAAAUGCAGGUGCAGCUGGACUUUUCUCUGAGCUAUCAGCAUAUCUAUUUAGUCUGCCUAAAAAACAGAUUAUUACCUUUGCUGCAGCUAACAUAAAGGAGAUUAGUUCUUGUGCUGACUGAUGCAGGAUUCACAAAGACAGGCUUCGGCCGACUUUGGAAACUCGAUCUCAAAUCAAGUAAGACUACCCGCUGAACUUAAGCAUAUCAAUAAGCGGAGGA
rnacentral:misc_RNA from 1 species